CCUACGGGGGGCUGCAGUGAGGAAUAUUGGUCAAUGGCCGGAAGGCUGAACCAGCCACGCCGCGUGAAGGACGAAGGUGCCAAGCAUUGUACACUUCUUUUGUCAAGGGACAAAAUCAGGCUCGAGAGCCUGUCCCAGGGUACUUGAAGAAAAAGCAUCGGCUAACUCCGUUCCAGCAGCCGCGGUAAUACGGAGGAUUCGAGCGUUAUCCGGAUUUCUGGGGUUUAAAGGGUGAGUAGGCGGAUGGUUAAGUCAGCGGUAAAAGCCCGGGGCUCAACCCCGGCGAGCCGUUGAAACUGGCUGGCUUGAGAUGUAGAGAGGUAUGCGGAAUGCGUAGUGUAGAGGUGAAAUGCUUAGAUAUUGCGCAGAACUCCGAGUGCGAAGGCAGCAUACCGGCGGCGAUCUGACGCUGAGGCACGAAAGCGUGGGUAUCGAACAGGAUGAGAUACCCGUGUAGUC
rnacentral:rRNA from 1 species